ACUCCUACGGGAGGCAGCAGUGGGGAAUAUUGCACAAUGGGCGCAAGCCUGAUGCAGCCAUGCCGCGUGUGUGAAGAAGGCCUUCGGGUUGUAAAGCACUUUCAGUCGUGAGGAAGGUAGUGUAGUUAAUAGCUGCAUUAUUUGUACGUUAGCGACAGAAGAAGCACCGGCUAACUCCGUGCCAGCAGCCGCGGUAAUACGGAGGGUGCGAGCGUUAAUCGGAAUUACUGGGCGUAAAGCGCAUGCAGGUGGUUUGUUAAGUCAGAUGUGAAAGCCCGGGGCUCAACCUCGGAAUAGCAUUUGAAACUGGCAGACUAGAGUACUGUAGAGGGGGUAGGAAUUUCAGGUGUAGCGGUGAAAUGCGUAGAGAUCUGAAGGAAUACCGGUGGCGAAGGCGGCCCCUGGACAGAUACUGACACUCAGAUGCGAAAGCGUGGGAGC
rnacentral:rRNA from 1 species